AUUCACCCUACCUCUGUUCGUAGAGUCUUCGGGCUAUCUCAGAUCCAGAUCGAGCGUUCUCCUUGGAAUCGUCCCCGAAUUUUGUAUCCUUCUCAGUUCUCUCAUCGUCAUCUCGGUCAUCGUUAUCCUUCUCCCCCAAUUUGACUCAGCUCCUCGAAUUGGUUUCACCUCCCCGAUUCGUGAAUGAGAAGGUGUUGACCCAUCGCGAUUUCGAAUAAGUCAAUCGAUUGGCGGCGGCGCAUUCUUUGGGCAGAGAUUGAAUCUCAUGUGCAACCUGGAUCUGUAUCAGUAUAUGUUCGUUAUGGACAAAGUAGACCAAAGGAUGCAAAUCUUUUAGCUCAAGGCCAUGUUGUGAUCCCACUACAUAUGGAGUUUUAGCAUCAGAAUUUUCUAUAGAGGAAUUGGUGACUGAAGAUAAUCGUGCUAAACCAACCAGAGUUGCAGUUGAUAAUGCCUCGGGCAGGAAAGCCAGUUUGAUUAAGUUUUGCCGUAGAUGGUGCAAGUUUGCUAGAGGUGGUUCAGGUUUUGAAUUAUUUAAGUCUCAUUAUAAGAAGGCUUACAUUUCUUCAGAUGGGGAUUAGUUCAUGGCUGUGUUUCAUGUUACUGAUUAAUUAAUAGGGGAAUAGGCUCUUUGAUGAUGGAAUAGCUCAAGGCAUUCAACAGGAAAAAUGCAGCUUGGUCAUUUUGUAUGGCAGUCAAUUUGUAUGAGCUAUAAAUGGAUGGAAUUUUUGGUUUCCUUUUUCUUAAUUGCAAGAUUGCAAUUAUUUUUUACUAAUAUAGGUUAUGUGGUUGGACUGCUAUAAGAAGAUUAUAUGGUUCGCGUGGAAUAAAUGUUUCAUGUUACUGAUUAAUAGGGGAAUAAGGUCCGUGAUGAUGGAAUAGCUGAAUGCAUUCAAAAGAAGCCUCCUAGACCGACUUUUUUGCUCUCUCCCCUGCUUUCUAAACAGCCUCCUUCACUCCCUCAUACGACUAAAUCGGCGGAAAGAGAGAGUGAAAGUUGGAUCUGCUGCUGUUGGUUGCUUUAAGAUACAGAGGUUGGGUUGAAAACGAGUACAAAAUCUCACCGUCUACGAGUACGACAUCUGGGUUCAGAGUUGAAGCUAUUAACUUGCUUCUUUCAUUAGUUAAUCUAACGAGUUGUUAGGUCUUGCUUUUGCAGAUUUUAUGCAAAAAAGUAUUGGUACCGUCUUUCUGCUGCUGUUCCAUUGUCUGUUACUCAGUAUUAUCUUGCUUUCCCAUUUUGAUUCAGAUUUUGGGAACAGUUUGCAGUCAGAUUCCUUGAAUCUUUUGGAUCCAGAGUGUGUAAUGCCAAGAGGUAUAUGUAAGGGUAGGAGCAGCUCAAGUUUAGAAAAUUAGUAAAUAUUCAAUUUAAGGGCAAUGAACUCGAAACUUUCCGGAUCCCAAGUUGACAUGCUAAGGUACAACAUACUAAAAUUUCAAGCAAAUUGGAGUUCAGCAAACAUGGCAAAAGAUGGAUGGAAACAGACUGAAUUGUGCAGUUUUCUUCAGAGUUUUUGUAGCAACCUGGAAUGUAAGAGGGAAAUCUCUCCAUAGUGACCUUAAUCUGCACAAUUUUCUGCAGCUUGAUAAUCCAUCAGACAUAUAUGUCUUGGGCUGACUUCGAUAAGAUUGGACAAGGUGGUUUUGGGGCUGUUUAUUAUGCCGAGCUGACAAGCAAGAGAAAGGGACGAGACGAAACAAAAAGAGAGAGAGAGAGAGACAAGAGAACAGGCAAGAACGAAAAGAAGGAGAAGAGAGAGACGGGAAGCUCUUGCUUAGAUUGUACUUUUUGAGUUUUAAACAGCUCCAGUUUUUAACAAGAAGCUACUUUGUCUAUGUAAUUUUGCUGAUGGAGAUCUUCAACAUCAGUGGUUAUUUGUUUGGAACAAAUAAACACUACAGACUGAAAGCACACUGGAAGAUCACAUGAUGAUAGUUACUGAUGUUGGAUUUAGAACAAAUCUCCUGAACAGAAUAAGGACAAGUAUGAUCGUAGAGUUCUACGAGUUCAGAGUCGAUGAGUAAAAUAGAGGCAAUGUUUGAAGCUGAACUUGAGAGGUUAGGGCUAAACAGCAGUACUUCUACUUUGGAGCGAAGAUUAAUUUGAGCUUCCAAACAGUGUUCAUCAAGUUUCUGAAGAUUACAUUUGGGAAAACUCUAAUACUUUACAGGCCAGUGUUUACAUCAGAGGAAGUCAAGCCAUAACAUCAACAACUAGAACUUGCCUGGUGGCUCCAAAUGAUCACAGAACACUAAGCCUAGAUGCUUUACAAAAGAAUGCACCAACUGUGAAGAACAGACUGCUGCUGUUUGAUUUGUAGCACCAUCGAGGUGGAAGCAGCUUCUCAGGAUUAUGCUCAUGUCAAAGCGUCCUAAAAUCCCCCUUUCUGGCCCAAGCCACAGGACCAACAAGACACCUAAUCCCUCAAGAGAUUACUAAACACUUCUAUUAUUUGUAUACAGAGAACAGCAUUUCCAACUGAAGUUUGGUUGAAUUUUUUGGCAAACUU